AAAUUCCACAUUUUCUGUACGAUUAGUUCCACCUUAAACAAAUCUGUUUCGCUCCUUAUAUCUAUUGGGUUUAGCUUAUGAAUGCUUCAGAACUUAGUUCAAAACUUUACUCGAAGUUAUGAAAUAUCUUUGGCUGACCAUCAUGGCUCUGCUAUAUUUCGCUGCUGCCCAAAAGACUAAGGAAAACUGCAAGGGCCUCCACCAUUGGGACGAAGCAAAUAAAAUUUGUCUUGCUUUGCCAAAAUAAUUGAAGUUGUUCUAUUUUUCCGCCAUGAAAUGUCAUAUAAACUGCAACGCAUUUUAAUCCAAACUCAUUCGUCGAAAUGAAAUCCAUAUUGUUCUUGCUUCCCAUAGUGGUGAUGGCGUUUGGUAAAAAAUGCACCAUCGGGUUCUAUUGGAAUGAAAAAAAUAAUGCAUGCAUUAAAUUGGGUUAGAAAUGCAACAUCUUAAUAUGUGAAUUUAUAAUUCCCCAUUAUUCGAAUAAAGAAAUUUAUGUCUUAUUGGAA